UGCAGUCGAGCGGUAGAGAGAAGCUUGCUUCUCUUGAGAGCGGCGGACNGGUGAGUAAUGCCUAGGAAUCUGCCUGGUAGUGGGGGAUAACGUUCGGAAACGGACGCUAAUACNGCAUACGUCCUACGGGAGAAAGCAGGGGACCUUCGGGNCUUGCGCUAUCANAUGAGC
rnacentral:rRNA from 1 species